CAGUAGCCGCGGGAAUACGAAGGGGGCUAGCGCUGCUCGGAAUCACUGGGCGUAAAGCGCACGUAGGCGGCUUGGUAAGUUAGAGGUGAAAGCCCAGGGCUCAACCCUGGAAUUGCCUUUAAGACUGCCGAGCUAGUAGGUGAGAGAGGUAAGUGGAAUUCCGAGUGUAGAGGUGAAAUUCGUAGAUAUUCGGAAGAACACCAGUGGCGAAGGCGGCUUACUGGCUCAUUCUAGACGCUGAGGUGCGAAAGCGUGGGGAGCAAACAGGAUUAGAUACCCCUGUAGUCCCUGUCUCUUAUAC
rnacentral:rRNA from 1 species